UUCCUGCAUUUUCAGGUGGGCCUGGGCCGGGCGUUCACGUUUUCACCCAAGAAUCUGGCGAGGAGGUUGCUUUUGCUGCCCCCGUUUCACAGAUGGAGAAGGAACCCAGGCAGAGGACUUGGACCCCCACCGUGUGCCAUGCUGAGGGGCUCAGGGGGCCCCUUGCCCUCUCUGGCCCCAUUCCUCGGCCAGCUGGGCAGCUCGGCAGCUCCCUGGGCCCACCCCUCUGCCACUCCCAGCCCAGGCCGCCCCGGCAGAAGCUCCGGCCUGCCUGAGGCUGACCCCCGGCCCACUGACCCCAGCCCUGGCCCGGCGGCGGGCAUUGCUCAACCUUAGGCGUUAUCUGCUGAGCUGUAGUGACCUCCGCCCCCUAGAGCUGGAGAAAUGACAUCUCUGAGCGCCCUUGGCGGGUGGGGGGAAGGGAGGGAUGGGAUGAAACACCGGCCGGGCCUGCUCGCUUUCUGAGCCUUCCCAGCAGCCUCUGGGCCAGGGAGGGAUCCACGGCCCCGAGGGUUGCGGUGACAUCCCCAGAGCCACCCAGCCAGACUCCCGAGCUGUAAAUUGGGACACUCAGGGCUCAGCUCAGGGCCACCGCCUCCGAGGGGCCCUCCCUGUCCCGACCUGGUGAACUUCCUUCACAACCCUUGUCUCCCGCUGCCAUUAUCCUAGUUGCCUGUUUACUGGUCUACCUGGGUUCCUGCCCCCCAAGACUGUGUGCUCCAUGAGGGCUGGCAGUCACAGCGUGGAACUCCUGGGCCCAGCAUGCUCAAUACUUACCAGAAGGGGACGGUGGUGGGAGACUCAGAACUGCCUUCGCCCGGAGCCCACCAGAGCAGCUGUGUGCGACCAGCAAGGACCCAGGACGCAAGGAUCCACCCAAAGCCCCCCACACUUUCCCUGGGCUACAUAUUCAGGAGGAGAAAAGCAAGACGACUGGCCCAAGAGGAGACCCACCGUUGCUUCUUUGCAGGGGAAAUGGGGAAAGUAUUUGCAAGUGGCUUAGAAAUCAGCAGCGGGUGGGGGAAAUCAGGCUGAGAGGUGAACCAUCGGCCGUUAAUGGGGAGUGUCUCCAGUGGGGGCGGGGUGCUUACAGGCCUGGCCUUUUGUUCCUGCUCUGUGUCCUCCUUGCUGUGGCACUUUGGCCAAGUCUGGUGACCCCUCUGGGGCCCAGACCCUCACCUCAAAGGGGGGCCAUUAAUAUCCCUUCUCAAUUGGGGGCUCUGGGCUUGCUGUUCCCCCUCACUGCUGCCCUCGCCCAACAUUUGGGGGUGAAUCAGAUCUCUUUUUAAGCCCUGCACAUGCAACAAAGCAGGCAGAUGGGGAAACAGGCCCAGAGAAGUUCAGGGCAUCCCCCAGGACCCUUAAAACCAGAUCCCCUGAUUCCAAUGUCUGAGAGUUUUCUCCACCUUAACUCCUCUCUGAGGCCUCAGUUUCCCCAUCUGCCAAAUGGGGCCAGGGUUCCGUCCCUGAAGUGACCAGGCGGGACUGGAUUUUGGAGUACUGAAUGGAGCAGGACAGCCAGUGAAACUUGCCUGUGCAUAUGCUGCCACUAUGUGGCCACCUCUGGAACUGCAGGAGCGAUUUAAACAACUCUUGAUUGAGGCCCUGGGAUACCCAGGCCUGUAUGGCAGGUACUCACAGGACACGAGUGAGCCACUCAAAGACAUAAAGACGUCCAACUGACAGAUGACUGAGCACUUGAAACGUGGCUAGUGAAACUGGGAAGUCACUUUUAAAUUUUAUUUGAUUUUAACUUAAAACAGCCUCAUGUGGCUCAUUAUAGUCCUGGGCUGUACAUAUCUAGAACUAUCUCUAAGAUCUAUAGUUAAGCGAACAAAGCCAAGUGCAGGCCAGGAUUUAUUUGUGAAUUUGAGGAUGUAGAGACUCCCGCUGGGAGGGGCAGAAGAAACUGGCAACAGCGGCAGCCUUGGGGUGGGGGUGCUCUGGAUAUCGUCAUGUAACAAAGCACCCCACAACCUAGGGGCUUACAGCGACAACCAUUUCGUUUGCUCAUGGCCCAGUGGGCCAGUGGUUUGGACAGGGCACAGCGAGAGCAGCUUGUCUCUGCUGGCUGGAACCCCCAACGCGGCUUCUUCACUCCCACAUGUGGCAUCUCAGCCAGGAUGGCUCUGACGGUUGAUGGUUGCCUGGAUCAUACGUCUGCCGUCUCAGUUCCCAGUUCCUCAGUUCACUUUCAUGGAUUUUCUUCUUGGCCAGUGUCCUCUGUACAUGUCGCCUCUCCACAUGGAUUUCCACAGGGCCUCUUCUUGUGGUCUCUGCAUGGUCUCUCCAUUGCCCUCAGCACGUGGUCUCACUACGUGGCCUUCCACGUGGCCUCGUGGCUUCCCUGAGUGAUCUCUCCGUGUGGAUUUCCACAUGAUCUCUCCAUGUAGCCAUUUCACGUGGUCUCCCUGGUACAGCAGCCACAUACCUUGCAUAGCAGCUGACAUCCCCCAGAUCACAGAAGUGGAAGCUUCCAGGCUUUCGUAAGGCUUAAGCCUGAAACAUACAGCCCCACUUGUGUCACAGUCUAUUGGCAAGGGGAGGGAGCUACAGGGCAGGCCUCCCAGGAGGCCAGUUCACUGGGAGCCACUAAAGUGAGUCCCCACAGGAGCAGACCUGGCCAAGGCAGGAGGGAGACCUGCAACCUCUUGUAACCUAGCACGUUUACCACGGACAUGUCACAUGUCAUUGUCUGAGUUUCAAAAUCUAUCCAUUGCAGUCUUGUGUCCACACCUUAGCUCGGGUCGUUCCCCUACUUGUAAAGGCCUUCCUCUCUUCUCCAGCCGCAGAAGUGCCCAGGGAAGCUCUCCCUGAAUGCCCAAGCCACAAAACUCUCCCCUUCCUUCGGCUCCUCCUACACUCUGUGCCUCUGUGAUCUGAGCCAGCUCCUACCCCAGUGAAGUGGGUGUCAUUUCCCUUUCCUGAUGAUCAUGAUCAGCCCACUCUAGGCUACCUUUGCCCACUCCCCGCACACAUACACACACACACACACACAUUUACAUCCACACAGACAGUGGAAUCGCGCAGGUGCUGGGGAGGUGCUCAGUGAUUUGGGGGCGCGGCCCAGGACACCACACACUUGCCUGAUCCAGAGCCGGCUGGACCCGGGCUUCUGUGGUGGCACUGCCUGGGAUAGCCGCCAGGUGGCGCUGGAGCCCAGCCCCCAACCUCUGCAGCUGCUGGCUGAGGAGUCAAAGACCCCAGGGCAGCAGACUCCAAGCCCAGCUUUAAAGGGACGUUUCUCACUACUUUUAUUGCCCACAGCUCUCCCUCAUGAACUUCAAAACUUGAUUCCUUCUUGGGCAAAUUGGCCUUAAUUAUGGGUGCACCAGCCACUGAUGAAUGACAAAGCCUGGGUUAGUCUCCAAAAUCAUGUGUUGAGUGCAAGAUCCAAGCACAAAGGGGUACAUCGUGCAGGAUUCCAUUUCUGUGAGGCUCUGGACUAAUCUACAGUGGGAAAUAUCAGAACAGUAGUUGCCUCACCCUGGGAGGUGGGUGGGAUUGUCUGCAAAGGGGCUCGAGGGUACUUUUUGGGGUGGUGGUAAAGUUCUGUAUCUUGAAAGGCAUUUGGGUAACACAGAUGGAGGCAUGUUUGUCAAAAAUAAAAGUACACCUAAGAUUGUGUAUGUCACUGAAUGUAAGUUUUACAAAGAGAAGCAUAAACAAAUAUUGUACCCUCGUUAAUGACAUGCAUGCUGAAGUGUGUAGGGGUGAAGUGUGCUGGUGUCAGCAAUAUACUUGGAAAUGAAACGAAAACUAUAAUGGAUUGAUGGGUCGACAUCGGGAGGAGAGACCCAUGAUCAAGUGAGAGUAGCAGUCUGUCAACACAGACACUGGCUGACGCUUGGAGAUGGAGACAUAAGGACGUUUGGAGACGCUAAGCUAAGAGAUGAAGCCCAGAGUUUGUCCCGGAGAAGCUAAGAGAGGACCCCCACACACUAAGAGAGAAAUGUCCUGGGAGAAAGAAGCAAGGAUGCAGAGGAGCUGAGAGA